rnacentral:rRNA from 1 species
AUUGAACGCCGGCGGCAGGCCUAACACAUGCAAGUCGAGCGGAUGAAGGGAGCUUGCUCCUGGAUUCAGCGGCGGACGGGUGAGUAAUGCCUAGGAAUCUGCCUGGUAGUGGGGGAUAACGUCCGGAAACGGGCGCUAAUACCGCAUACGUCCUGAGGGAGAAAGUGGGGGAUCUUCGGACCUCACGCUAUCAGAUGAGCCUAGGUCGGAUUAGCUAGUUGGUGGGGUAAAGGCCUACCAAGGCGACGAUCCGUAACUGGUCUGAGAGGAUGAUCAGUCACACUGGAACUGAGACACGGUCCAGACUCCUACGGGAGGCAGCAGUGGGGAAUAUUGGACAAUGGGCGAAAGCCUGAUCCAGCCAUGCCGCGUGUGUGAAGAAGGUCUUCGGAUUGUAAAGCACUUUAAGUUGGGAGGAAGGGCAGUAAGUUAAUACCUUGCUGUUCUGACGUUACCAACAGAAUAAGCACCGGCUAACUUCGUG